GUCGAACGCGAGCUCAAAUAACAAAAUUUCUUAACGAGCCGAGCUCGAACACUACGAACGAGCUCGAAAGCUUAACGAACGAACACGAGCCUUGUUCGCGAACGUUAACGAACACUUAAAAUUUGGCUCGGCUCGGAUCGUUAACAGCUCUACUAGUGCAUGAUAUAUUUGUGCCUUUUUGUUGGGAGUUUGAGUACUUUGGAUUAAAUGAUGAAAAAUAUAUACUGAUUGGGUAUUAGCAAUCCUGAUGAGAAACAUAUGUUCUACGAGGUUUUGGAAAUAUACAUAUUACUGCUUUGUCACCCUUCAUGUAUUAGUCUAGUUCUUUUUAUGUCAAUUUUCUCCCAAUUUGAGAGUGAUUUGAUCACACUUUGUGAUGAUUAAAGAACAUAUUAGGUCCUCUCAUACUCACUCGAUGAUUAAUUUGUUAUAUGAGAGUGAUCAUCACGCUCUAAACAAACCCAACACAUGUUGCAUAAAAUCAAUUUUUACUUGAUGAUGAUGUUAGCAUCUGAAAGUGGACAUGCAACUCAAUGAUGUAUUAUGAACCUGGGAGCUAUAUGAUUGACUAUCGUUAGAUUAUUUUAUGUCCAAAAGUGGAUUACAAGUGAUUAAAAUCUACUGGUUAUAGAUUUUAAUCACUUGUAAUCUCGUACAUACAAAAUACUUCUACUUAGUCGUUUGAUUUAAUCACAAAAACAUCAAAUGCUAUAUCUGAAAAUGCAAUAUUACGUCAUAGCCUCUACGAGUGUAAUGAGCUCUUCGAUUCCGGCAGCUUCAUUACUCUCCAACAAAUGCUCUAUAGUGUACUUGAUCAACUUUUGAUCUACCGCCAAAUAUGUUGGGAGUAAAAUUUUCCUUGUUAGUACUGCUUUUCCCAUAUGUGGAAUUUUGUAGUUGUUUCCACCUUAACACUUGAGAAUCUCCGUAAGAUACAUUUGCAAUGUAAUGAAAAUAUUAUUAAGUGUUGUGUCGGACAAUUCUUCAAAAAAUUUUCGAACAACUGCUAGUAGAUCUUCUACAUUGUAGCUCACUUUGGAAACUUGUAAAGAUUGCAAUGAUCUAAACCACCCUAGAUCAUUUAUGUUUGUAUCCCGGCUGUUAGGCGGUUGAAAAACCAAAUGGAUAUCAAAUCCAUCACUGCUUGCAACCUCUCGGAACUCAGGAUCAUUGUCAUCAAUGGUAUUGGACAUGCUUUUGUACCUUAUGAUGUUACACUCUGAUAGAACGUCCAAUGCUUGGAGGCAAAAUUGUAGCCGGCUUACCAUGUUUUUCUCAGUUAAGCUUGGCUUGAUUGCAUUUGUGUGUGCUCUGAAUAAUCCUGUUUUGUAUCAUCUCUUAACAUUACUUUUGCUAACUUUUAACUAUUUGCCAAUUCUCCUAUAUGUACCUCUCUUACUGCAAUGAACAUCUUUCAACUUGUUUA